rnacentral:lncRNA from 1 species
AAUGAAAAUGGCGCUUGACUUUUUUUAUUCACCUCAUCCACACCUUCAACCCAAUCAUUUUCUACUUUCAAUAAAAUACUCUGUAUUUGCAUCACCCUAGAUAACUAUAAUUGUAAGAUUGUCUAAGAUCAAAUUUUGAUAGAUGUCAGACUUUGAUUUAUUUAGUUAGAUGAUGUGUCGUGUUGAUUCUCUAUUUCUCAAACAUGCAUGCAUAAAUGUUCUUGAAUUAGAAAAAGUAUCAUGAAAAUUAUAUUUUAAAAUGCAUAUAUAACAUUAGGUGCAUGAUAGGUUUAUGUUGGUACCCUUUGACAUGCAUUAAAAUAAUUCCCAAGUGAUUCUUAACUUUGUAAAUCAACUCACAUAUUUUUAAGUUGAUUUACAGAGGUUUUGAACUUUUUCUUGAAGUUAUAGAUCUUAUAAAUCGAUUCAACAAGGUGGUGAAUCAACUCACAUUUAUAGGAGAUUUUGUACAUUGACUAACACUCCUAUGAAUCGACUUACAGUGCUUUAGAAUGAAAUCGUAGACUUUCAAGAUACAUGUGAAUCGAUUCAUAAAACUAGUAAGUCGAUUCACACAACGUGUAGAGUUUGUUUUAGACAGUUGCAAAACAAUUUUUUAGAAAGACUACAUUUUUCUUUGGCCGAAUUAAUUGAAGUGACUUUAUAUUCUGAUCUAAACCUUCAUUUUCAAAACGAAUACUUUCAUCUAUUCCUAAAGUAUCAUGCAUUCAAGAUCAUAACCUCUUAAACAAUUUUUUUGAGGGGAUCCCUAUUUGUUUGAGAAACAUCAAGAGAGUGGAUAUCUCUUUUUAAGGUGAUUGUUCAAGAUGUGGGUGUUCAAGGGGAUAUGGAUUCUCUUUUUUAGGUACUAAUUAAAGAUAGAUUUUCUUCAAGGUCUAGAAUGGGAUUUGCUGUAGCUAGUUGCUAUUUUGUAAGGUUUGAAGGGGUAUCUUCAUCUUGAUGAUAGUGGUUCAGAUUUUUUUUGAAAUGUGUUCUAAGAGAUCUGGUUUAGAGUGUUUAGGGAAGGGUGGACAAUUUUUGUAACAUACGACAAAUCUUGUAAAUGUACUAUUCAUAUAAAGGAAGAAAG